GACGAACGCUGGCGGCGUGCCUAAUACAUGCAAGUAGAACGCUGAAGGAGGAGCUUGCUCUUCUGGAUGAGUUGCGAACGGGUGAGUAACGCGUAGGUAACCUGCCUGGUAGCGGGGGAUAACUAUUGGAAACGAUAGCUAAUACCGCAUAACAGUAGAUGUUGCAUGACAUUUACUUAAAAGGUGCAAUUGCAUCACUACCAGAUGGACCUGCGUUGUAUUAGCUAGUUGGUGGGGUAACGGCUCACCAAGGCGACGAUACAUAGCCGACCUGAGAGGGUGAUCGGCCACACUGGGACUGAGACACGGCCCAGACUCCUACGGGAGGCAGCAGUAGGGAAUCUUCGGCAAUGGACGGAAGGCUGACCGAGCAACGCCGCGUGAGUGAAGAAGGUUUUCGGAUCGUAAAGCUCGGUUGUAAGAGAAGAACGAGUGUGAGAGUGGAAAGUUCACACUGUGACGGUAUCUUACCAGAAAGGGACGGCUAACUACGUG
rnacentral:rRNA from 1 species